UACGGAGGAUCCGAGCGUUAUCCGGAUUUAUUGGGUUUAAAGGGUGCGUAGGCGGCCUGUUAAGUCAGGGGUGAAAGACGGUAGCUUAACUAUCGCAGGUGCCCUUGAUACUGGACGGGCUUGAAUGAUAGUUGAGGCAGGCGGAAGUGUGACAAGUAGCGGUGAAAUGCAUAGAUAUGUCACAGAACACCAAUUGCGAAGGCAGCUUGCUAAACUAUGAUUGACGCUGAGGCACGAAAGCGUGGGAUCAAACAGG
rnacentral:rRNA from 1 species